AUCCUUACCCUGGCAGGGGAGAUACCCAUGAUUAUGAUGGUGGUUUUCCCAGGGCAGGGCUUUAUCCAUUUGCAUUCCCAGAUUCGCUACCGCCUGUGGUCUCCCCAACUGUGGGCAACUCGACUGGGAUGAUUUGUGGAAUGGAGGGGGACUGCAUUCGUGGUCUCCAA
rnacentral:snRNA from 1 species